GACCGCACCGGUGGCCUAGUGGUGGAUCGUCCGCUUCUGAUGCGUGAGGUUGCGGGUUCGAGCCCUGGCUGAGUCA